UACCAUGGUGGUAACGGGUAACGGGGUGUUAGGGCACGACACCGGAGAGGGAGCCUGAAAAACGGCUACCACAUCCAAGGAUGGCAGCAGGCGCGCAAAUUACCCAAUCCCGACACGGGGAGGUAGUGACGAUAAAUAACAAUACGGGGUUCUUUAGGAUCUCGUAAUUGGAAUGAGUACAAUUUAAAUCUCUUAACGAGGAACAAUUGGAGGGCAAGUCUGGUGCCAGCAGCCGCGGUAAUUCCAGCUCCAAUAGCGUAUAUUAAAGUUGUUGCAGUUAAAAAGCUCGUAGUUGAAUUUCGGGGUCAGUAGGUCGGUCGUGCCACUGGUAUGAACUGGUUUUACUGAUUCCUCCCUCUUGAAGAACUGUAAUGCCAUUAAUUUGGUGUUGCAGGGAAUCAGGACUGUUACUUUGAAAAAAUUAGAGUGUUUAAAGCAGGCUUUAGCUUGAAUACAUUAGCAUGGAAUAAUGAAAUAGGACGUUUGAUCCUAUUUUGUUGGUUUCUAGGAUUGACGUAAUGAUUAAUAGGGAUAGUUAGGGGCAUUAGUAUUCAAUUGUCAGAGGUGAAAUUCUUGUAUUUAUUGAAGACUAACUACUGCGAAAGCAUUUGCCAAGGAUGUUUUCAUUAAUCAAGAACGAAAGUUAGGGGAUCGAAGACGAUCAGAUACCGUCGUAGUCUUAACCAUAAACUAUGCCGACUAGGGAUCGGAUGAUGUUAAUUUUUUAAUGACUCAUUCGGCGCCUUACGGGAAACCAAAGUGUUU
rnacentral:rRNA from 1 species